rnacentral:rRNA from 1 species
AUCGAACGCUGGCGGCAUGCCUUACACAUGCAAGUCGAACGGUAACAGGUCCUCGGAUGCUGACGAGUGGCGAACGGGUGAGUAAUACAUCGGAACGUGCCUAGUUGUGGGGGAUAACUACUCGAAAGAGUGGCUAAUACCGCAUGAGAUCUACGGAUGAAAGCAGGGGAUCGCAAGACCUUGUGCUACUAGAGCGGCCGAUGGCAGAUUAGGUAGUUGGUGGGAUAAAAGCUUACCAAGCCGACGAUCUGUAGCUGGUCUGAGAGGACGAUCAGCCACACUGGGACUGAGACACGGCCCAGACUCCUACGGGAGGCAGCAGUGGGGAAUUUUGGACAAUGGGCGAAAGCCUGAUCCAGCAAUGCCGCGUGCAGGAUGAAGGCCUUCGGGUUGUAAACUGCUUUUGUACGGAACGAAAAGCCCCGGGUUAAUACCCUGGGGUCAUGACGGUACCGUAAGAAUAAGCACCGGCUAACUACGUGCCAGCAGCCGCCGCCG